GACAGAGGGGGCAAGCGUUGCUCGGAAUUACUGGGCGUAAAGGGCGCGUAGGCGGGAUGGCAAGUCGGUCGUGAAAUCCUUCGGCUCAACCGAAGAACGUCGAUCGAUACUGCUGUUCUUGAGGGUUGCAGAGGAGACUGGAAUUUACGGUGUAGCGGUGAAAUGCGUAGAUAUCGUAAGGAAGACCAGUGGCGAAGGCGGGUCUCUGGACAGUUCCUGACGCUGAGGCACGAAGGUCAGGGGAGCAAACGGG
rnacentral:rRNA from 1 species